rnacentral:rRNA from 1 species
CCCCUAGAUGUUCUGGGCCGCACGCGCGCUACACUGAACAGUUCAACAAGUCUUAACCUUGGCCGAUAGGUCUGGGUAAUCUUUGUACGCUGUUCGUGAUUGGGAUAGACCUUUGCAAUUAUGGGUCUUCAACGAGGAAUUCCUAGUAAACGCAAGUCAUCAGCUUGCAUUGAUUACGUCCCUGCCCUUUGUACACACCGCCCGUCGCACCUACCGAUUGAAUGGUCCGGUGAAAUCUCGGGACGGCGGCUUGGUCGCUUGCGUCCGACUGCUGAAACUUGAUUAAACCAUAUCAUUUAGAGGAAGGUGAAGUCGUAACA